UGGACACUGCCUGUGAAUCCAGGCCACACUGACCAGAGACCUGCACUCCUUUGGAUGAAGAAGGCUACCCGUGUAUACAUGUGUGAACCAUUUCUUGUGUUGGAAAAACAGGAGACCUGAAGAGCUCUUGAUGCUUUUGGUUUGCCUCAUCCAUUAUGUCAGCAAAGAACAGGAGUGGGCAGGAAACAUGCGCUGUUGAAAACAUGGCCAACCAACUGGAGCACCCACAAGGCUCUUGUGAAGGAAGUCCACAAGCCUUUGUGCUUCAGGAUGGAUGGAAAGAACUCUUUGAUCAACCCCCAAAGAGAGCUGAGGUGGAUAUCUUUUGGAGACACCCCCGGCUGGUAGUGCUGCUGAAACUGGUGGAGGCAACAAUGAAGCGGCAACAGAAAGAGAAGGCAGGUGGCAAAGGUUGCUUUGAGAGCGAGUGUGUGUGCAUGUAUGUAGCUGGGUAGGUCAUGGUACAUGGUA